GAGAAACUCCUCUUCCGGUUUUGUCGGUCCAUGCGUGGCAAUGCAAACACACGCGGAGAACCUGUCGAUCAAUCCUUGGCCAUCCACUCGAGCAGUGUGACAUCCGAGUGUAAUAUUCACUGACUGACAUCCUGUGCAGUCAUUUCACUUGAUCAGCGUGAUGUUCUCUACCUCCUGACCUCAGAUGCUACUGGAUGAACAUAUGCUUGUUUGGUUGGAUUGAAGAAGAUGAGGAACAAGCAGAUGGGGCGGAUAGAUGGAACUACAUGAUGCUACAGAGAGCAUACAGCUCAAUACUUCAAAACCAGAGCGAGAGAGAGAGAGAGGACUACCAAGCCUAGUAAUGGAAUGACCACGCUGCCCCCUACUGGUGGUAUGAGAUGACAAUGCUGAUCUCUUUUUUUGGUACAAUGCGACCCCAGCUCACUAUGAUUACUUACAGAUGUCCAAGGUUCUCCAGUACGACAGAUCAACUGUGGUAAUUUGAACGAUAUCUUCUUCCAGGACUUGGUCUUCACAUAAAUUAGAUGUCCUGCAUGCGGUGGCUGUCCGUUUAGGAAAGCAUCAGGUUCAAAGCCAUGCAAGCAAAUUGCUCUACCGAAAGGAAAGGACUAUUUUCCGCCAUGAGAAGAGGUGGCAUCCCUGCAGCAAUUGCCUGCUGCGCGCUUCGUUCAGAGAACUUUCCUCCAGAAGGUCUUAUUUUGGUCCAUGUGAUGUCACCUGUCAAAAAUUGAGCUGUUUGGCCACAAUACCCAGCAAUAUGUUUGGAGGAGAAAAGGUGAGGACUUAAAUCCCAGGAACACCAAGCCUACCAUCAAGCAUGGUGGUGGUAGUAUUAUGGAACUGGUGCUUUACAGAGAGUAAAUGGGACAAUGAAAAAGGAGGAUUACCUCCAAAUUCUUCAGGACAACCUAAAGUAUGACCCAAAGUCCUGACUUAAACCUGUGGAAAAUGCUGAAGAAACAAUUCCAUGUCAGAAAACCAACAAAUUUAGCUGAACUGCACCAAUUUUGUCAAGAGGAGUGGUCAAAAAUUCAACCAGAAGCUUGCCAGAAGCUUGUGGAUGGCUACCAAAAGUGUCUUAUUGCAGUGAAACUUGCCAAGGGACAUGUAACCAAAUAUUAACAUUGCUGUAUGUAUACUUUUGACCCAGCAGAUUUGCUCACAUUUUCAGUAGACUAUUGAGUCUACUGAAAAUGUGACCAAAUCAUAAAAGAACCAAACUUCAUGAAUGUUUUUUGUGACCAACAAGUAUGUGCUCCAAUCACUCUAUCACAAAAAAUAAGAGUUGUAGAAAUUAUUGGAAACAAGACAGUCAUGACAUUAUGUUCUUUAC